rnacentral:rRNA from 1 species
AGAAAGUCUGCUGUUAAAACGUGGAGCUUAACUCCAUCAUGGCAGUGGAAACUGUUGGGCUUGAGUGUGGUAGGGGCAGAGGGAAUUCCGGUGUAGCGGUGAAAUGCGUAGAUAUCGGGAAGAACACCAGUGGCGAAGGCGCUCUGCUGGGCCAUCACUGACGCUCAUGGACGAAAGCCAGGGGAGCGAAAGGGAUUAGAUGCCCCUGUAGUCCUGGCCGUAAACGAUGAACACUAGGUGUCGGGGGAAUCGACCCCCUCGGUGUCGUAGCCAACGCGUUAAGUGUUCCGCCUGGGGAGUACGCACGCAAGUGUGAAACUCAAAGGAAUUGACGGGGGCCCGCACAAGCGGUGGAGUAUGUGGUUUAAUUCGAGGCUACGCGAAGAACCUUAUCCUAGUCUUGACAUGUAUGGAUUAACCCUGUGAAAGCAGGGCCACGCCUUCGGGUGGAACAUACACAGGUGCUGCAUGGCU